GAGUUUGAACCUGGCUCAGGAUGAACGCUGGCGGCGUGCCUAACACAUGCAAGUCGAACGGAGUGCCAAGGACAAACAUUUCGAUGGGCGGCUUUGGUAACUGAGUGGCGGACGGGUGAGUAACGCGUGGACAACCUGCCGUGUACAGGGGGAUAACAGCCGGAAACGGCUGCUAAUACCGCAUAUGCGCACAGUGCCGCAUGGCACAGGGCGGAAAACGACAGUGGUACACGAUGGGUCCGCGUCUGAUUAGAUAGUUGGCGGGGUAACGGCCCACCAAGUCGACGAUCAGUAGCCGGCCUGAGAGGGCGGACGGCCACACUGGGACUGAGACACGGCCCAGACUCCUGCGGGAGGCAGCAGUGGGGAAUAUUGCACAAUGGGGGGAACCCUGAUGCAGCGACGCCGCGUGAAGGAAGAAGUAUUUCGGUAUGUAAACUUCUAUCAGCAGGGAAGAAAAAGGACGGUACCUGACUAAGAAGCCCCGG
rnacentral:rRNA from 1 species